AUUCUGGUGCACGGGCUUUACGCAUGUCAGUGAAGGUUCGCCUGAGACUGCGUUUUUGCUAGUUGAAAACUAUACUAUGACCGCUUCUGUUGGGCUUCGGCCUGGCAGAGAAUUUUUGGCACAUAUUUUCUCGUGAGAGACAUGU
rnacentral:snRNA from 1 species